CAGCUGGAAGACGCCGGAGCCGCAGACCCGCUGCACAAAGGGGAGAGAGACACAAAAGAGGCAGCUCACGUAGCUGAUUGGCAGACAACCUUGAGAGAAUACCCUUUUCUAUUCUGCGUCAAGCAAACACAAACGGAGAGAUUGGACGUCUGCCUUCAGCCAGGAGGCCCCGGUCACCGCGGUCUUAAGAGCUGAGCCUGGCAACUUUGGGGCGGAGUGACCGCACGCCAACUCCUGGGAGAACCAAGGGCAAAAUGUUGAUUUCGAUACGGUGGACCAACCAGGAUGGCCUUGUCUGUGGAUUGCUGAACGCCUGUCAAAUGAACAUUGCAAUCCAACGCAGGAAGCACCACACCUUGCCAGGAUGUGAUCCCUUUCUGUGAUCUAAUGCAGGGACCCCCCCUUCCACCUGUCCACUGAGCCCGUGGCCUCCCUUUAUCUUUAAAUCCUUAGGAGGACCACCUUAUCCAAAAAAAACAACAACCCGCUCCCUUCUUUCCAGUUCUCUUUGAGAACUCCUAGCCGAGUGACCUGGCCUUUGGAACAGGAGAGCAAAGGCGCGGGGCCCGGGAAAAGGUGGGGGAUGAUGCCGGGCGAAAAAUGCCCCACACGCACUUGAUCUCGUCGUGGGUUUAAGAAAACAUCCGAGAGCUGCCCAGAAGGCCGUUGCCAAGGUCCUGUCCUUGGAGGAAGGCCAGCGCUAUUGACUGUUUCGGAGCCUUCUUCCAGGGGGGAAGUUGCUGUGGGUGAGACUUUCCAGGAGUAAAGGCGUGUGGAAAAGGGGGCUGUCCAGCGUAAGACAGGCAGAGGUCUGCUGCUGCUUUGCUAGCCGCCGCCUCCUUCUCCAGCCCCAACUGUCCAAACUAAUGCUGCUGCGAAGAGCUUCGGCACUAAAAUAACGGGAGGCCAGAUAGCAUCAGUGCUGAUAAAUGGUAAUGAGUUUCUAGCCUAGGGGAACAGAAGGGCGGUGGGGCUCUUUAAUUCAUGAUUGAAAGGCUAGCUGGGCACGAUGGGCUCUAGCAGAUGUUAGUAUGUGUGUGUUUUGAUUUUUGACUUGUCUCGGAGGUUUAUUAGGCUAACCAGAGCCACCUCGCACGGCCACUUGGCCCAGGCGCCAUCUGGCACAAGCUGGGCGACAUGCGGGCGCAGGAGCAGGAACAGGGCACCGCCUCGGUGCUGCAGAUCCGCAGGCAGCAUCCACCAUAUGGACUCGCUCUAUUCUUUCGGGCUAAUGUAGGUUAAAGCCAGAGUUCCUUUCACAACUCGGCCAAACCUCCCAACCUGCCCCCGAUCCCGCAGAUAGAAUUUCAUCUUUCGUUUGCACACUUUCGGCGCCCGCUGGAUCAAAAUAUUACGGAGUGGGCAGCCUCCGCC